CGAUCACACGAACACUUCAAAGUUCAAACCUCGGCUUCCUGCAGAACAACGCUUUCAGAUUCAGACCUGCUUCCUCUCGCUCGCUCAAACACACUGUGAUUCUCACCUCCUCGUCAGUUCUCAGUCGUUUCUCUUGGUUUAUCACGUCUCUUCUCUUUGGUGUGUGUGUGUGUGUGUGUCUGUCUGUCUGUUUCUGCUGACAAAGGUACUUUCAAUGUUUUUUAUUUUUUAGUUAUCGGGCGAAUCCCGUGAAUGAGAACAUAUGCAGUGAGGAACAGGGAGAAGACAACAGACAGCAGAUCUUUCAGACAAACGGAAUGAACCUAAUGUUAGAGACAAACUGAGCACAGAAAACAGAGACAGAGAAGAUUCAGAAAUCAUCACCUGCUUAAAUCCUGCACAUCCUGAUCCCAAGUUUAUAAAAGUACAGACGAGAGCAAACUAUGUGCCACACUUUCAGCAAACAUGUUUCAGAUAUUCCUAUGAAUGCAUUACAGUACCACAUUAAAAGGGGUUUUAUGCUUUUAUUGUGCAAAAAUCCUCUCAAAGAAGAC